rnacentral:snoRNA from 13 species
GUGCUGUGAUGUUAUCAUAUCAACACAUCAUUCUGAUGCAAAACCAUGGAGAGAAUCAUCCAAUAACUGAGCACA